rnacentral:rRNA from 1 species
GAUGAACGCUGACAGAAUGCUUAACACAUGCAAGUCAACUGUGGCGGACGGGAGAGUAACGCGUAAAGAACUUGCCUCACAGAUAGGGACCACAUUUUGAAACGAAUGCUACUACCUGAAACUGUGAGAGAGCUUUGCGUCCCAUUAGCUAGUUGGUGAGGUAACGGCUCACCAAGGCGAUGAUGGGUAGCCGGCCUGAGAGGUUGAUCGGCCAAGAGGGGACUGAGACACGGCCCUGACGCCUACGGGAGGCAGCAGUGGGGAAUAUUGGAGAAUGGACCAAAGUCUGUUCCAGCAAUUCUGUGUGCACGAUGAAUUUUUCGGAAUGUAAAUUGCUUUCAGUUGGGAAGCAGUACCAACAGAAGAAGUGACGGCUAAAUACGUGCCAGCAGCCGCGGUAAUAC